rnacentral:rRNA from 1 species
UACAGAGGUGGCAAGCGUUGUUCGGAAUUACUGGGCGUAAAGGGCGCGUAGGCGGCCUUCUAAGUCAGACGUGAAAUCCCCCGGCUUAACCUGGGAACUGCGUCUGAUACUGGAAGGCUUGAGUGCGGGAGAGGGAUGUGGAAUUCCAGGUGUAGCGGUGAAAUGCGUAGAUAUCGGGAGGAACCCCUGAGGCGAAGGCGGGCUACUGGGCCGAUACGGACGCUGAGGCGCGAAAGCCAGGGAGCGAACGGG